GAAGGGGUGAGAGAGGCGGUGACUCAGGCAGUGCGAGCCGCCAUUAUCCGCUGCUGUCUCUCUUUCUCGCGCGCGCUCUCUCUCUCUCCCUUUCCACCAUUGUUAAGAUCCUGCAGCAACCAUGUUGGCCGAGGAGGACGUGCAGGAAGAGUCCAUGAUGGAGGCAUCCGCUUGUGAGCAAGAGGGUACCGGGCGCAGCGAAGGGGUGAAGAUUGAUGCCAGCAAGACGGAGGAAGACGAGGGGAAAAUGUUUAUUGGAGGACUUAGCUGGGACACAACAAAAAAAGACCUGAAGGAUUACUUUUCAAAAUUUGGAGAAGUUGUUGACUGCACUCUGAAACUGGAUCCUAUAACUGGGAGAUCGAGGGGCUUUGGCUUUGUGUUAUUUAAAGAAGCUGAAGGUGUUGACAAGGUUAUGGAACAGAAAGAACACAAGCUAAAUGGCAAAGUUAUUGAUCCCAAAAGGGCAAAAGCUAUGAAAACAAAAGAACCCGUUAAGAAGAUAUUUGUGGGUGGUUUGUCUCCAGACACCCCUGAAGAGAAGAUCAGGGAAUACUUUGCAACGUUUGGAGAGAUUGAAGCAGUUGAACUCCCCAUGGACAACAAAACAAAUAAAAGGCGUGGAUUCUGCUUCAUUACAUUCAAGGAAGAAGAACCAGUAAAGAAAAUAAUGGAAAAGAAAUACCAUAAUGUUGGCCUUAGUAAAUGCGAAAUUAAAGUUGCCCUUUCUAAAGAACAGUAUCAACAGCAGCAGCAGUGGGGUGGAACAAGAGGUGGUGGGUCCUCAACAAGAUCCCGUGGGAGAGGAGGUGGGGCAACACAAGGCUGGAAUCAAGGAUAUAGCAGCUAUUGGAAUCCAAGUUACAGCGGAUAUGGAUAUAACAAUCAAGGCUACGGAGGCUAUGGAAACUAUGACUACAGCGGUUAUAACUACUAUGGAUAUGGAGAUUACAAUACUGUCAGCCAAUCAAAUCCCAGACGCCUGCACUGACUAACCUGUUCACAAGAAAAGGCUUUAUCGAGUGGUUAUGGGAAAACAGCCAGACGAGGUGGUCAUCAAAAUAGUUACAAACCGUACUAAAUUAUUGCAAUUCCAACGUGUCUCAAACAGCGGGGAAUUCAUUGCAGGCCCUGUGUCGCGCUGACUUCACGAUUCUCACAGGCCGCUCAAUGCGGACAGGGUACGAGAUGCUCACGCUCUCGAAUGCUGCCGUUUGGUAUGGUCUCUUCCAACAUCCUGUAUCAGCAUUUUAAAAUACAAUGGAUACUCCCACCUAUGCUUUCACUUAUUCCUUUGCUUUAAAAAAAAAAAAAAGUAAUUGUAAUUUUAAUACAUUUUUUACAGGCCCCGUAAUCAUUAGCUAUGUGAACUUUACUGAAUAAUUUAACUAUUUGUUCUUCUAAGGAUACAGCUGGAUUUUCAUAUUUGUUUUCUCCAUAUUAUUAAUCUAUAUUAAUGCUUGCUUUUCCCGUGGUUUUUGUUUUUGUCUAAAGUAGCCAUAAUUUCAGAAAGUUCUUGGGCUGAAUUCCUGUUGUGUAUCAAUUUUUUUAAAUACAGGUUUACCUGCGGAGGAAAUGUAAUGCUUAAAGCCUGUGUGGAGCACGUGAAUUUUAUACCUGCGUAAAAAUGUAUUUUCACGUCCUAUACUAAUUUUUGUCUUUGCUGUGAAGGAAUAUUUUGUGUUCCUUACGUUAAAAGAUCGUCAUAAUUCCAAAACCAGUUGGUUUUCUUUGAAAAGAUCUUGGUGCACAUGAGGAUUUCAUAGCUCUUGGACAUUAGCUCUCCUAAUAUUAUAGUUGAUCAUAUAUAUAUUUUCCGUAAUUUGAUGCAGAAGGAAUAGUGUUAAAUGUAAUAUGGAUAUUGCAGCUGCAGGUUUUUCAGUGAUUUCUAAUGUGUCUUUUCUUUUUGUUAUAGGUGGACAAACAGUAUUUUUCUGGGUUGAAGAUUCAUUUGAGGUGGCUCAUUCUGCAUGUCUUAUAGCAGUGCAAAUGAAGUUUUGUAAAAUAAUUUUUUUUUUUUUUUUUUUUUUAGACCCCUCUUUAAAGGGAAUUAGUUUGACAUUAAUUUUUAGAAUUUAUCUAGUCUAAUUUCAUACCAGCUUUGCCCAUUAUAUAGUGUUAACAUUAUUUCACCAGCAUGGAAGAUGGAAUCUUGUGUUGAGCCGUGUAUGCCUGCGUCAUAAUGUAGUAUUUUUUUUAUUUUAUAUAUUUUUUUUUUUUGAUUUUUUUUUUUCCUCCUU